UGAUAUGAACCGUUAUAACCGGCGAUUUCCGAAUGGGGAAACCCAGUGUGACUCGUCACACUAUCAUUAACUGAAUCCAUAGGUUAAUGAGGCGAACCGGGGGAACUGAAACAUCUAAGUACCCCGAGGAAAAGAAAUCAACCGAGAUUCCCCCAGUAGCGGCGAGCGAACGGGGAGGAGCCCAGAGCCUGAAUCAGCAUGUGUGUUAGUGGAAGCGUCUGGAAAGGCGCGCGAUACAGGGUGACAGCCCCGUACACAAAAGCGCAUGUGCUGUGAGCUCGAUGAGUAGGGCGGGACACGUGGUAUCCUGUCUGAAUAUGGGGGGACCAUCCUCCAAGGCUAAAUACUCCUGACUGACCGAUAGUGAACCAGUACCGUGAGGGAAAGGCGAAAAGAACCCCGGCGAGGGGAGUGAAAAAGAACCUGAAACCGU
rnacentral:rRNA from 2 species